AGUGAACGCUGGCGGUAGGCCUAACACAUGCAAGUCGAACGGCAGCACAGGAGAGCUUGCUCUCUGGGUGGCGAGUGGCGGACGGGUGAGGAAUACAUCGGAAUCUACUCUGUCGUGGGGGAUAACGUAGGGAAACUUACGCUAAUACCGCAUACGACCUACGGGUGAAAGCAGGGGACCUUCGGGCCUUGCGCGAUUGAAUGAGCCGAUGUCGGAUUAGCUAGUUGGCGGGGUAAAGGCCCACCAAGGCGACGAUCCGUAGCUGGUCUGCAAGGAUGAUCAGCCACACUGGAACUGAGACACCGUCCAGACGCCUACGGGAGGCAGCAGUGGGGAAUAUUGGACAAUGGGCGCAAGCCUGAUCCAGCCAUACCGCGUGGGUGAAGAAGGCCUUCGGGUUGUAAAGCCCUUUUGUUGGGAAAGAAAUCCAGCCGGCUAAUACCCGGUUGGGAUGACGGUACCCAAAGAAUAAGCACCGGCUAACUUCGUGCCAGCCGCCGCGGUAA
rnacentral:rRNA from 1 species